rnacentral:rRNA from 1 species
AGCGAACGCUGGCGGCAGGCCUAACACAUGCAAGUCGAACGAAGUCUUCGGACUUAGUGGCGGACGGGUGAGUAACACGUGGGAACGUGCCUUUAGGUUCGGAAUAACUCAGGGAAACUUGUGCUAAUACCGAAUGUGCCCUUCGGGGGGAAGAUGUAUCGCCUUUAGAGCGGCCCGCGUCUGAUUAGCUAGUUGGUGAGGUAAAGGCUCACCAAGGCGACGAUCAGUAGCUGGUCUGAGAGGAUGAUCAGCCUCAUUGGGACUGAGACACGGCCCAAACUCCUACGGGAGGCAGCAGUGGGGAAUCUUGCGCAAUGGGCGAAGGCCUGACGCAGCCAUGCCGCGUGAAUGAUGAAGGUCUUAGGAUUGUAAAAUUCUUUCACCGGGGACGAUAAUGACGGUACCCGGAGAAGAAGCCCCGGCUAAUUUCGUGCCAGCCGCCGCCGUAAAAC